ACAUGCUUACAACAUAGCGUUAAUUCACUGGAUCCUAUUAGAACUCUGCAGUUAAGUGCGCUCAGGCUAGAGUAGUACUGGGAUGGGUGACUUCCCAGGAAGUCUUAGUAUUUUACAUGCC
rnacentral:rRNA from 1 species